GAUGAAGAACGUAUCGAAAUGCGAUACUUGGUGUGAAUUGCAGAAUCCCGUGAACCAUCGAGUCUUUGAACGCAAGUUGCGCCCGAAGCCAUCAGGUUGAGGGCACGUCUGCCUGGGCGUCACAUAUCGUUGCUCGAUGCCUAUCGCAUUGCGAUAGGACUUAGGGCGAAUGAUGGCUUCCCGUGAGCGUUGUUGCCUCGCAGUUGGUUGAAAAUCGAGUCCUUGGUAGGGUGUGCCAUGAUAGAUGGUGGUUGAGUGACGAACGAGACCCAAUCAUGUGAGACCCCUACCGAAUUUGGCCUUCAUGACCCACAUGCGUCUUUGGAACGCUCAUGACGAGACCUCAGGUCAGGCGGGGCUACCCGCUGAGUUUAAGCAUAUCAAUAAGCGGAGGA
rnacentral:misc_RNA from 1 species